AUUGGGUGGGUGACUCGUGAGCUUCUGACAUUGAGCUCUUUUGUUGCAGCCAUGGUUGUCAUGUUCACCUUUUAUAUGCUUAAAUCAAGGUCUGACUUUAGUUUUACAUUUUGUGAACAUUGUUGGUUAUUUUUAAUCCUUGUUUCUUAAUCUUGCAAUGGUGAGUGAGAUAAUUUUAGAACCAUGCUUUGCAAUUGUCAAUUUUAGUCUGGUUCAAGAACUAUCAAUUCAAGUUUUAGAGAGAUGAAAAGGCAACGAUAAAAAUGUGAGGGAUUUAUGCUGCUAAGUAAUGAGAAUUGCUGUGGCAGGUAUCACUCUUGAUGCUUUUAAUGUAUCAAUCAACUAUCAAGUGAAUAGGAUGCAUUCUAUUGUGUCUGGUUUGAUUUAUUGUACACGGAUGUUUUGCAUGUGUGUGGUGGUAGUGGUGAUCCUAAAAGCACAAAAUUGUGAGAUUGAGAAGUAAUUGUGAAUGCUGCUUGUUAAUUUUUUUAAUCUUUUAAUCAAAAAACUAGUGAGAAAUGGUAUUUAUGGUUUUGUCUUAAUGUCAAAGCAUUAUGUUAAAGUAUGUGCAAAAAUAUAUGAUGCACUUGAAAAAAAAGCGAGCACUUCUCUGUUUUUUGUACAGUGGAAAUUUUAGCUCAUUGUUUAAGAAUGAGGUUUUACUCUCAGUGAGAUUGAAGGAUUCAGGGUGGUCGACUUCAUCUCUCUGAUAAAAAGUGGAGCCUGUGAUUUAUCUUCUUAUUUGCCAACAGCUCCUUCUCCCUGUACAUAUAGAGAGGCCAAAUGCACUGAACUUUGCAACUUCUACCCUUUGUUUGGAUGUAAUGAUUGGAAGUUUUAGUAACUUAAUGAGGCUAUGACGAUAUUAUCAGUGACCUAAAAUCAGAUUAGAAAAGAAACACCCAUCCUUGGGCGGGGUAGGCUUUUGAAGCAGCGGCUUAAGUCCACUCGUGGUUCCUGAACUUAGACAGCCUUUGGCAGUCCUUAAAUAUGGGUUUUACCCUAUUUUCCUGAUAGCUAUUGGCUGCAGCCAUGAUGUGGUGGUGUUUCUUUCUUGUUUGAUACUGAGGCUAUCUGAUCUGGGCCUCCAUUUCUCUAAAUAUCUUUGUUUAGGUUCUGUUUGCUGCGAGGAGAUUUUUCCAGUGAAGGGUGAGGCUUAGCUCUUGGAGAGCUACUCUGAUUGAUUGCAGAGCUGACCCUUGUUUGUCAAUAGCUAUACCUUUCUUUCUAUCAUCUCUUUUUUUGUCUCGUGGGUCUUUGCAUGGCUGUGAUGAUGCUGUUAUUUUUUUAAUGAAAAUCGGAUAAUUGAAUGAACAUUAUCUAACGUUGGGUGGGUGACUCGGGAGCUUUUGAUUUUGAGCUCUUUUGUUGCAGCCAUGGUUGUCAUGUUCACUUUUCUGCUUGAAAAAGGUGAAUCUGAGUCUCCUUUUAUAUGCUUAAAUCAAGGUCUACUUUAGUUUUACAUUUUGUGAACAUUGUUGGUAUGUGAACAAGGUUUGUCAUAAUUUUUAUCUCUGAUUGAUUGCAAUGCUGAGUGAGAUAUUGCGUUGGAUUGGUUUUUAGAGCCAUGGUUUGCAAUUGUCAAUUUUAGUCUGUGGUUCAAGAGCUGUCAAUUCAUGUUUUAGAGAGACGAAAGGACAGCAAUAAAAAUCCAAGGGAUUCAUGCGGUCAAGUAAUGAGAAUUGCUGUAGCGGGUAUCGUUCUUUUGAUGCUUUUAAUGUAUCAAUCAACUAUCAAGUGAAUAGGAUGCAUUUUAUUGUGUCCGGUUCGAUUUAUUGUGUGAUGAUCCCAAAAGUGUAAUUUUGAGAUUGAGAAGUAAUUGAGAAGGCAGCUGCUUAAUUUUUUUAAUCUUUUAGUCAGAACUAAGAAAAAACGCUGCUCAUGGUUUAGUGUCUUGAUGUCAAACCAUUAUGUUAAAGUAUGUGCAAAAAAUUUGAUGCACUCUAAAGUGGCAAAAGCGAGCACUUCUCUUUUUUUGUUAAUGAAAACAAAACAAAGGACUCACCAGCAGCUGGUAUGCA